rnacentral:rRNA from 1 species
UACGAAGGGGGCUAGCGUUGCUCGGAAUGACUGGGCGUAAAGGGCGCGUAGGCGGGAUGGCAAGUCGGUCGUGAAAUCCCUCGGCUCAACUGAGGAUCGUCGAUCGAUACUGCCGUUCUUGAGGAUUGCAGAGGAGACUGGAAUUCCCGGUGUAGCGGUGAAAUGUGUAGAGAUCGGGAGGAACACCGGUGGCGAAGGCGGGUCUCUGGGCAAUUCCUGACGCUGAGGCGCGAAAGCGUGGGGAGCAAACGGG